rnacentral:tmRNA from 1 species
GCUCUUUCAAAAUCGCUCAGCUCCGCCUAUAUUGGAGGGGUCGGUCGCAAGGCCGGCUAUGGCGAUAAACGGCUACUGGAAUAAACCCAUCUGACCCGGGGGCGGUACCCGGCGCAUCCACCAGAAUCCGGUCUCGACCUGGGUUUCGGCAGGGGCGAAAGCAAGAUCGACGAGGGCCUAAAGGGUAGACUUUCGCUCGGCAUGGUUCCGCCGACAUCGGGCCGGUUCAGUCGUUGCCAACGACAACUAUGCUCCGGUUGCGGUAGCCGCGUCAGCGGCUCCUGACGCCGGUUCGAAAGUCCUGGCGGUUCACGCCGUCAGGCGGGGUUCGGAGGCGCCCGGCGACGCAAGCCUUCUCG